AGCUCAGUUGGUAGAGUGCUUGCCUCGCAUGCACAAGGCCCUGGGUUCAAUUCCCAG
rnacentral:tRNA from 1 species